CGCUCUGGUGGCCUAGUGGUUAGGGCGUCCGCCUCAGAUGCGGACGAUCGUGGGUACGAACCCCGGCCGAGUCA